rnacentral:rRNA from 1 species
CACAGGUGGUGCAUGGUUGUCGUCAGCUCGUGUCGUGAGAUGUUGGGUUAAGUCCCGCAACGAGCGCAACCCUCGUUCUAUGUUGCCAGCACGUCAUGGUGGGGACUCAUAGGAGACUGCCGGGGUCAACUCGGAGGAAGGUGGGGACGACGUCAAAUCAUCAUGCCCCUUAUGUCUUGGGCUUCAAGCAUGCUACAAUGGUCGGUACAAUGGGUUGCGAAGCUGUGAGGUGGAGCGAAUCCCAAAAAGCCGGCCUCAGUUCGGAUUGGGGUCUGCAACUCGACCCCAUGAAGUCGGAGUCGCUAGUAAUCGCAGAUCAGCAACGCUGCGGUGAAUACGUUCCCGGGCCUUGUACACACCGCCCGUCAAGUCACGAAAGUCGGUAACACCCGAAGCCAGUGGCCCAUCCUCGUGAGGGAGCUGUCGAAGGUGGGAUCGGUGAUUGGGACU